CCCGACACUUCGGUGUUGGGAGGAGACUGGCGCACGGGUGAGUAACGCGUAGACAAUCUGCCUAUAACAGGGGGAUAACCACGGGAAACCGUGGCUAAUACCCCAUGAUGCAGCGGCCCCGCAUGGGGACAGUUGUUAAACUUUUCGGGGCAACCCGGAGGGGGUUAUAGAUGAGUCUGCGUGCCAUUAGUUAGUUGGUAGGGUAAUGGCCUACCAAGGCGAUGAUGGCUAGGGGGUCUGAGAGGAUGAUCCCCCACACUGGGACUGAGACACGGCCCAGACUCCUACGGGAGGCAGCAGUGAGGAAUCUUGCGCAAUGGGGGCAACCCUGACGCAGCCACGCCGCGUGCUGGAAGAAGGUCCUAUGGAUUGUAAACAGCUUUUAUUCGGGAAGAAAGUAUGGGUUUUGACCUGUAUUGACGGUACCGUUUGAAUAAGCACCGGCUAACUCCGUGCCAGCAGCCGCGGUAAUACGGAGGGUGCAAGCGUUGUCCGGAAUCAUUGGGUGUAAAGGGUGCGCAGGCGGGCAUCUAAGUCUAAGGUGAAAUCUUGCCGCUUAACGGUAAAAUGGCCUUGGAUACUGGGUGUCUUGAAUCUAGUAGAGGUUGGUGGAAUUCGUGGUGUAGCGGUGAAAUGCAUAGAUAUCACGAAGAACAUCAGUGGCGAAGGCGGCCAACUGGGCUAGUAUUGACGCUGAGGCACGAGAGCGUGGGGAGCGAA
rnacentral:rRNA from 1 species